rnacentral:rRNA from 1 species
CCUACGGGAGGCAGCAGUGAGGAAUAUUGGUCAAUGGGCGCGAGCCUGAACCAGCCAAGUCGCGUGAGGGAAGACGGUCCUAUGGAUUGUAAACCUCUUUUGUCGGGGAGCAAAAGACGCCACGUGUGGCGUUCCGAGAGUACCCGAAGAAAAAGCAUCGGCUAACUCCGUGCCAGCAGCCGCGGUAAUACGGAGGAUGCGAGCGUUAUCCGGAUUUAUUGGGUUUAAAGGGUGCGCAGGCGGAAGAUCAAGUCAGCGGUAAAAUUGAGAGGCUCAACCCCUUCGAGCCGUUGAAACUGGUUGUCUUGAGUGAGCGAGAAGUAUGCGGAAUGCGUGGUGUAGCGGUGAAAUGCAUAGAUAUCACGCAGAACUCCGAGUGCGAAGGCAGCAUACCGGCGCUCAACUGACGCUCAUGCACGAAAGUGUGGGUAUCGAACAGGAUUAGAUACCCUUGUAGUC